CCUACGGGUGGCUGCAGUGAGGAAUAUUGGUCAAUGGUCGGGAGCCUGAACCAGCCAAGCCGCGUGAAGGAUGACGGCACUACGAGUUGUAAACUUCUUUUGUAAAGGAAUAAAGUGAGGCACGUGUGCCUUGUUGUAUGUACUUUAUGAAUAAGGAUCGGCUAACUCCGUGCCAGCAGCCGCGGUAAUACGGAGGAUUCGAGCGUUAUCCGGAUUUAUUGGGGUUAAAGGGUGCGUAGGGGGGUUGUUAAGUCAGGCGUUAAAGCUGCGGGCUCAACCGUAACACCGCAGUUGAUACUGGCAGUCUUGAGUGGAGGAGAAGUAUGCGGAAUGCGUGGUGUAGCGGUGAAAUGCAUAGAUAUCACGAAGAACUCCGAUUGCGAAGGCAGCAUAC
rnacentral:rRNA from 1 species